rnacentral:misc_RNA from 1 species
GAUGAAGAACGCAUCGAAAUGCGAUAAGUAAUGUGAAUUGCAGAAUUCAGUGAAUCAUCGAAUCUUUGAACGCACAUUGCGCCCGCCAGUAUUCUGGCGGGCAUGCCUGUUCGAGCGUCAUUUCAACCCUCAAGCCCCCGGGCUUGGUGUUGGGGAUCGGCGUGCCCUCGCGGCGCGCCGUCCCCUAAAUCUAGUGGCGGUCUCGCUGUAGCUUCCUCUGCGUAGUAGCAACACUCGCACUGGAUCGCAGCGCGGCCACGCCGUUAAACCCCCCACUUCUGAAAGUUUGACCUCGGAUCAGGUAGGAAUACCCGCUGAACUUAAGCAUAUCAAUAAGCGGAGA